GACGAACGCUGGCGGCGCGCCUAACACAUGCAAGUCGAACGGAGCUUAGAGAGCUUGCUUUUUAAGCUUAGUGGCGAACGGGUGAGUAACGCGUGAGUAACCUGCCCUAGAGUGGGGGGACAACAGUUGGAAACGACUGCUAAUACCGCAUAAGCCCACGGUACCGCAUGGUACUGAGGGAAAAGGAUUUAUUCGCUUUAGGAUGGACUCGCGUCCAAUUAGCUAGUUGGUGAGGUAACGGCCCACCAAGGCGACGAUUGGUAGCCGGACUGAGAGGUUGAACGGCCACAUUGGGACUGAGACACGGCCCAGACUCCUACGGGAGGCAGCAGUGGGGGAUAUUGCACAAUGGGGGAAACCCUGAUGCAGCGACGCCGCGUGGAGGAAGAAGGUUUUCGGAUUGUAAACUCCUGUCGUUAGGGACGAUAAUGACGGUACCUAACAAGAAAGCACCGGCUAACUACGUGCCAGCGGCCGCGGUAAAACGUAGGGUGCAAGCGUUGUCCGGAAUUACUGGGUGUAAAGGGAGCGCAGGCGGGAAGACAAGUUGGAAGUGAAAACCAUGGGCUCAACCCAUGAAUUGCUUUCAAAACUGUUUUUCUUGAGUAGUGCAGAGGUAGAUGGAAUUCCCGGUGUAGCGGUGGAAUGCGUAGAUAUCGGGAGGAACACCAGUGGCGAAGGCGGUCUACUGGGCACCAACUGACGCUGAGGCUCGAAAGCAUGGGUAGCAAAAAAGAUUAGAUACCCUGGUGUCCAUCCGUAAACGAUGAUUUACUAGGUGUUGGGGGGGUGACCCCCUCAGUGCCGCAGUUAACACAAUAAGUAAUCCACCUGGGGAGUACGACCGCAAGGUUGAAACUCAAAGGAAUUGACGGGGGCCCGCACAAGCAGUGGAGUAUGUGGUUUAAUUUGAAGCAACGCGAAGAACCUUACCAGGUCCUGACAUCCGGUGCAUAGCACAGAGAUGUGUGAAAUCCUUCGGGACAUCGAGACAGGUGGUGCAUGGUUGUCGUCAGCUCGUGUCGUGAGAUGUUGGGUUAAGUCCCGCAACGAGCGCAACCCUUAUUGCCAGUUACUACGUUAAGAGGACUCUGGCGAGACUGCCGUUGACAAAACGGAGGAAGGUGGGGAUGACGUCAAAUCAUCAUGCCCUUUAUGACCUGGGCUACACACGUACUACAAUGGCGUUAAACAAAGAGAAGCAAGACCGCGAGGUGGAGCAAAACUCAAAAACAACGUCUCAGUUCAGAUUGCAGGCUGCAACUCGCCUGCAUGAAGUCGGAAUUGCUAGUAAUCGCGGAUCAGCAUGCCGCGGUGAAUACGUUCCCGGGCCUUGCACA
rnacentral:rRNA from 1 species